UACGUAGGGGGCAAGCGUUGUCCGGAUUCAUUGGGCGUAAAGAGCGUGUAGGCGGCCAGGUAGGUCGGUUGUGAAAACUGGAGGCUCAACCUUCAGAGGUCGACCGAAACCAUCUGGCUAGAGUCCGGGAGAGGAGAGUGGAAUUCCUGGUGUAGCGGUGAGAUGCGCAGAUAUCAGGAAGAGCACCCGUGGCGAAAGCGGCUCUCUGGAACGGUACUGACGCUGAGACGCGAAAGCGUGGGGAGCGAACAGG
rnacentral:rRNA from 1 species